rnacentral:lncRNA from 1 species
AAAAUCGUCUCAGCUCUUUGACUGAUUUAGGAGCUGGACACUUCCUCAUAACUUCUAACUUCUUUAGAUCUAGCGCCACCCUAGUCCCACUUAUAAUAUGACACAAGAUUCCACCUCUCUCUCCCUAAAAGAAUAUUUGCUCAUCUUCACAUAAAAGCUGUUGAUUUUCAGAGUUUACAAAGAUAUCUACAAAUGGGCCAGGUUACUAAACCAACACGUACUAUAGAUAAGGAUAUCAUCAAACUAAACUAAGAUGAAUUUCCUCAACUGUGACUGGAAAUAUGGUUCAUUACAACAACAACAACCCAGUAUAAUCCCAC